AUAGGAGGAACGGAAAAUAAACAUUCGAUCCCGAUCCCGAAUACAAGAGAGAUGAAAGCUUAGACGCGCCAAUCACAAUUGAGCUAGCCGAAUUGAAAACGUUGCCAGCUCUAUUUUCAGUACGAAGGAAUGAACGAAGGAGAAGAUCAAAAUUUUUCCGACAAUUCGGAUAAAUUGUGGAUGUGGCAACGUGCAUUCGGGAAUUUUGUCAUUUUGUUCUGGCUUUAGACCACCUCAAUUGGCUAAAUCUUCAUUAUUCCUUGUUUUAAUUAUUUUGUAUUUUCAUUUAUAACCAUUUGAAGUGAUAUUAGAUAUUUGUAGCAAGUGUUUUUUGUGUAGUUUCACUUAUUAUAUUGUGGAAGGUGAGAUUAGUCUUCACAGACUUCCAUCGAAUCAAUUUGAACGAGAAAAAUGGUUGCAGAGAAUAUCUUGGAACCGAACGAUGUUGGAAAAAAAAUUUUUCUUUGCUCAAAUCACUUUCCUGAAGAUUGCUUCCGACUAAUGAACCUAAAAAAGAAGUUUAUUCCAGGAAGUUUGCCUUCUCCUUCUGAAAUCAAAUUGGAAAUACCUCUGAUCUACGCAGAAGGGAAUGGAAGUAUUGAAUCACAGGACUUCACAGAAUCUGAUUCUAAAACACAAUCACCACCAAAAAAAGAUUGAUAUUUGAGACUUCAGCUACUUUUAACUCUCUUUCAAAAUGUGCAUCUUCUAGCUCUAGUGGCACUAAGAACCUAAGGCUUAUCCAAGGAGGUUUGCCUUCUGAAAUCAAAUUGGAAAUACCUCUGACUUACUCAGAAGGGAAUGGAAGUAUUGAACAACAGAACUCUACGGAAUCUCUAUAUGAUUCUAAAAUACAUUCUCCAUCAAAAAAACGAUUGAGAUUUGACACUCCAACUACCAAUGAUUCAGAAGAAACACUGACUUAACCUCUCCUUCAAAAUGUGCAUCAUUUAGCUCUAGUGCCACUUGUUUCUCUGGGAAACGAAGAAUAUCCAAAAUGAAGUCGAGACGGUUUUUCGAAAUAAAUCAAAAUAUGUUACGCCACUGCUAUAGACGCCGGUCAGACAAGGAGCUACGAAUGUUGGCAUCAAAACAAAUCCUUCAGUUACAAGGCGAUUUCCAUUCCCCUUGUUAAUGUUCUAAGUGCUGCACGGACCCUAACCGAAUCCGAUACCUAAACAGUGAUCACGUCACGCUUUUAUUUCACUGAUAUCAUAAAGGAAAAGGAACGUUCACGUUUCACAACUCUAAGCACGGACCGUGCUUGUUAUUAUUAUUUGUAUGAAUCACCCA